rnacentral:rRNA from 1 species
CAGGUGGUCAGGUAGAGAAUACCAAGGCGCUUGAGAGAACUCGGGUGAAGGAACUAGGCAAAAUGGUGCCGUAACUUCGGGAGAAGGCACGCUGACACGUAGGUGAAGUGAUUUACUCAUGGAGCUGAAGUCAGUCGAAGAUACCAGCUGGCUGCAACUGUUUAUUAAAAACACAGCACUGUGCAAACACGAAAGUGGACGUAUACGGUGUGACGCCUGCCCGGUGCCGGAAGGUUAAUUGAUGGGGUCAGCGCAAGCGAAGCUCCUGAUCGAAGCCCCGGUAAACGGCGGCCGUAACUAUAACGGUCCUAAGGUAGCGAAAUUCCUUGUCGGGUAAGUUCCGACCUGCACGAAUGGCGUAAUGAUGGCCAGGCUGUCUCCACCCGAGACUCAGUGAAAUUGAACUCGCUGUGAAGAUGCAGUGUACCCGCGGCAAGACGGAAAGACCCCGUGAACCUUUACUAUAGCUUGACACUGAACAUUGAGCCUUGAUGUGUAGGAUAGGUGGGAGGCUUUGAAGCGUGGACGCCAGUCUGCGUGGAGCCGACCUUGAAAUACCACCCUUUAAUGUUUGAUGUUCUAACGUGGACCCGUAAUCCGGGUUGCGGACAGUGUCUGGUGGGUAGUUUGACUGGGGCGGUCUCCUCCUAAAGAGUAACGGAGGAGCACGAAGGUUGGCUAAUCCUGGUCGGACAUCAGGAGGUUAGUGCAAUGGCAUAAGCCAGCUUGACUGCGAGCGUGACGGCGCGAGCAGGUGCGAAAGCAGGUCAUAGUGAUCCGGUGGUUCUGAAUGGAAGGGCCAUCGCUCAACGGAUAAAAGGUACUCCGGGGAUAACAGGCUGAUACCGCCCAAGAGUUCAUAUCGACGGCGGUGUUUGGCACCUCGAUGUCGGCUCAUCACAUCCUGGGGCUGAAGUAGGUCCCAAGGGUAUGGCUGUUCGCCAUUUAAAGUGGUACGCGAGCUGGGUUUAGAACGUCGUGAGACAGUUCGGUCCCUAUCUGCCGUGGGCGCUGGAGAACUGAGGGGGGCUGCUCCUAGUACGAGAGGACCGGAGUGGACGCAUCACUGGUGUUCGGGUUGUCAUGCCAAUGGCACUGCCCGGUAGCUAAAUGCGGAAGAGAUAAGUGCUGAAAGCAUCUAAGCACGAAACUUGCCCCGAGAUGAGUUCUCCCUGAGACUUAGAGUCUCCUGAAGGAACGUUGAAGACGACGACGUUGAUAGGCCGGGUGUGUAAGCGCAGCGAUGCGUUGAGCUAACCGG